rnacentral:rRNA from 1 species
UACGUAGGGUGCGAGCGUUAAUCGGAAUUACUGGGCGUAAAGCGUGCGCAGGCGGUUCGUUAAGUUCGUUGUGAAAGCCCCGGGCUCAACCCGGGAAUUGCAUUCGAGACUGAAUAGCUAGGGUACGGUAGAGGGAAGUGGAAUUUCCGGUGUAGCGGUGAAAUGCGUAGAUAUCGGAAGGAACAUCAGUGGCGAAAGCGACUUCCUGGACCAGUACCGACGUUCAGGCACGAAAGCGUGGGGAGCAAACAGG